UGUUCCAGCUGCCCUCCCUAUAAAAAAUUCCAGAAAUAGAAGUUUCUUGAAUCUUCAACAACAACAUUUACAGUUUGUUUUUGGAAAAUCUCUGCUGUUGUUUGAGAUCAGCAUCGAAUGAGAGAUGAGAGGAUUAAUAGAUUCUAAAGAUGGAGGAGACUUUGCUCCAGGAGGAAGAGGAGCUUUGUGUGAUGUUGGAGUAUAACGUCUGUCUAUCGGACCUAGAUGUAAAGAUGUUGUUAUAAAGAUUUUAUAUAGGAAAAAUGAUUAAUAUUUGUUUUAAAAUGUUUGUGAUAUGUUAAUUUUUGAAUUUUAUGUGUUUUAUCUAGUCAAAAAGUUAUCUAUUUAUAUCAAGGUUUUUUAAACAAAAUGACAUAAACUCCUUAGUGUGGGCACGGGCCAUGAUUAUUUUCUUGCUUUUUUCUGUACCGAAAACACGUUUA